AACGCACAUUGCACCCGGUGGUAAUCCGCCGGGUAUGCCUGUCUGAGCGUCAUUUCUACCCUCAAGCCACUAGCUUGGUGUUGGCGGUCUGCAUCUGCAGCCGCUGAAAAUCAAUGGCGGCAGCUUCUGUCCUCUUGUGUAGUAUCAUUUCUCACAGCGAUGACAGCGGCCAGCCAGUCUUGACUCCUUACUCUGAAAAGUUGACCUCAGAUCAGGUAGGAAUACCCGCUGAACUUAA
rnacentral:misc_RNA from 1 species